CAAAAUGUCUGCGGACAAGUAGCUUAACCGAGGUGGGAGCUCCACUUCAUAAUUUGAGGGCUUCAGCUGAGAAUAUAAGAACACUUUCAAUGCAACAAGGGUCGGGCUGCCGCCGUGCAGGACGCGGCACCUGAGCGGCCACACAGGUGCCUUUCUCCUCCCGACAGCCAAGCAGCCUGGAGCAAAUGUUACCUUGCGAGUUUACACUGCAGCAUCAUCAAGUGCAACGUUUCAGUUCAUGGACAUCGAAGCAAGAGGAGGAAAAGAGUCACCACGCAGCUGCAUGACCAUUUCAACAAAGACGGAAUAAACAACCUCUGGAUUCAUGGAACUUCUCUGCACACAAAUAUAUUAAUUGGAAUAUUCAAUAAAUUUCACAUAGAAA